UGGAUAACCUCUUGGGUGAAGUGCUCAUUGAUAUCCGUGCGCUUGCGGAUCAUUUCCUGAUUGCGUUAACAAAUAUCAACAAGCAUUUCUGGCGCAGUUGCCGGGGAGAAAGACGAUUUGCUGAGAUAACUUUAAGUCUUGAUAUUAUCUUGUAUUAUACUUUUAUACUUUUAUUCUUUUAUCUUUUUAUUUUUUCCAUCUUUAUGGAUAACUCAAAUUCCACACCUAUUAUUGAAUUUUUUGCACCUUCGGAGACCAGCCAUAGACCAUGGGAGUCAACAAGUCCUUUCUUUGACCCUAAUUAUAAUCUGUGUCCGAAGUUGAUUGCAAUAGGUCAAAACCAAACCUUUUGUAUAGCCGAGGUCCUAUCUUUUAAUCAAGAAGAUAAUGAACUUUUAGCUACACCUAGGGAAUUUUUUAAUCUUUAUAAAUUCUAGUUUAGACCUAGCCCUACAAGACCAUGUUUUUCCUCGAUAUUUUCACAUUUGUCUUAAUCAUAUAACCUUUGGUAGAGUUUUUAUUUCUUUAUCUGUUAGUAAAGCAAGGCAUGUCUUCAUUCAUGGACAUCCUUCUUGCAUUAGUCUUCAUAAAAAAAUUCUAGAGAUAGAGAUCAUCUCCCAGACGAGGAAAAGAAGUUUCAAUAGCCAAUUUCCAAACAUUUCAAUCCCAUGAUUCGGCUAUCCAACCCAAACUAGUAGUGCUCCAAAAUCAUCUAAGGGAAGAAGAAAUUCUACCUUUGGAAAUUCAUUUUGGGAUAAGCUUAAACUUCCUGCUUCAUAAGAGACCUUUGAGUGCAUAUAGUGUGAACCUUCCUAAGAAGGGAUCUCUUAGAAAGCAUCUCAAAUCCAAUCCCUUUGAUGGACAUCUACAAAGACUCAAGGAUGGCAUCUUAAGUGAUGCAAUAGAAAGAGAGCGAAGCCAUUUGGAAGACAAUCUCAUCUUCUCCCCUUCUACGCCC
rnacentral:lncRNA from 1 species